rnacentral:lncRNA from 1 species
GGUCAAAAAGGCACCAGAAGGAGGGAAAACCCGCAGCCCAAACGACUAGGAACGCAGCUGAAGUGUAGAAAAUCGACGUCCGCCGCCCGGGUGGUGGACCUCGACGCUCGGGCGGUGGACCUUGAUGCCCGGGCGGCACUGCCUCGAAGCCUAGGCAUCCAAAUUUGAUGCCCAAGCCCAACAUGACUCUCAAUUCACGCUUGGGCGAGCUCCUUGCGACGCUUGAGCGUGAAUUCAUGUGGAUCAGGCCCUGUUUUUGCUUUGAUUUGAUUCUUUUGGAUCGGGCCUCAUUGUGGAGCACUUCUGACACUAUUUGAAGGACCCUGGGGCUCUAGGUUUUGCAUCCCUG